rnacentral:rRNA from 1 species
AUUGAACGCUGGCGGCAGGCCUAACACAUGCAAGUCGAGCGGAUGAAGGGAGCUUGCUCCUGGAUUCAGCGGCGGACGGGUGAGUAAGGCCUAGGAAUCUGCCUGGUAUUGGGGGAUAACGUCCGGAAACGGGCGCUAAUACCGCAUACGUCCUGAGGGAGAAGGUGGGGGAUCUUCGGACCUCACGCUAUCAGAUGAGCCUAGGUCGGAUUAGCUAGUUGGUGGGGUAAAGGCCUACCAAGGCGACGAUCCGUAACUGGUCUGAGAGGAUGAUCAGUCACACUGGAACUGAGACACGGUCCAGACUCCUACGGGAGGCAGCAGUGGGGAAUAUUGGACAAAGGGCGAAAGCCUGAUCCAGCCAUGCCGCGUGUGUGAAGAAGGUCUUCGGAUUGUAAAGCACUUUAAGUUGGGAGGAAGGGCAGUAAGUUAAUACCUUGCUGUUUUGACGUUACCAACAGAAUAAGCACCGGCUAACUUCGUG